UAAAUUUUUUUAGUAUUAAUUAAAUUAAAUUUAUUAAUAAUAAUAAUAAAAUUAAAUAUAUUAAGUGAAAUUUUAUAUUUAAAUUAUUAUAUAAAAAUGUAAUUGAGGUUAAAAAAUUUUAAUAAAAAACUAGGAUUAGAUACCCUAUUAUUUAAAAUGUAAAUAAAUUGCUAAAGUAGUAAUAGUUAUGUUCUUGAAACUUAAAAAAUUUGGCGGUAUUUUAGUCUAUCUAGAGGAACCUGUUUUUUAAUCGAUAAUCCACGAUGGACCUUACUUAAAUUUGUAAUCAGUUUAUAUACCGUCGUUAUCAGAAUAUUUUAUAAGAAUAAUAAUAUUCAAUAAUUUUAAUAAAAAUUUAUAUCAGAUCAAGGUGUAGCUUAUAUUUAAGUAAUAAUGGGUUACAAUAAAUUUAUUUAUAUGAAUAAAAUUAUGAAAAAAUUUUUGAAAGUGGAUUUAGUAGUAAAAUUAUAAAGAUUAAUAAUUUGAUUUUAGCUCUAAAAUAUGUACACAUCGCCCGUCGCUCUUAUUAUUAAGGUAAGAUAAGUCGUAACAUAGUAGAUGUACUGGAAAGUGUAUCUAGAAUGA
rnacentral:rRNA from 1 species